rnacentral:rRNA from 1 species
ACGCGGACACAACCGCGAGCACGUCCCUUCGCGUCUGAUUGCGGAAGCGACGCAGGGUCUGGGCUGGUUCGAGCUUCCGUGGGAGACCAGCUUGGAAGACUGCUUUUGCUCGUU